rnacentral:rRNA from 1 species
GAUGAACGCUGGCGGCGUGCCUAAUACAUGCAAGUCGAGCGAACAGACGAGGAGCUUGCUCCUCUGACGUUAGCGGCGGACGGGUGAGUAAACGUGGAUAACCUACCUAUAAGACUGGGAUAAAUUCGGGAAACCGGAGCUAAUACCGGGUAAUAUAUUGAACCGCAAGGGUCAAUAGUGAAAGACGGUUUUGCUGGCACUUAUUGAUGGAUCCGCGCCGCAUUAGCUAGUUGGUAAGGUAACGGCUUACCAAGGCAACGAUGCGUAGCCGACUUGAGAGGGUGAUCGGCCACACUGGAACUGAGACACGGUCCAGACUCCUACGGGAGGCAGCAGUAGGGAAUCUUCCGCAAUGGGCGAAAGCCUGACGGAGCAACGCCGCGUGAGUGAUGAAGGUCUUCGGAUCGUAAAACUCUGUUAUUAGGGAAGAACAAAUGUGUAAGUAACUAUGCACGUCUUGACGGUACCUAAUCAGAAAGCCACGGCUAACUACGUG